rnacentral:rRNA from 1 species
GGCUCCCUGUUGUUCCUAUAUAGGGAGUCGGACCUGCUCAGUGAAUUUUUUUCAACAGCCGCGGUACUCUGACCGUGCAAAGGUAGCAUAAUCAUUUGCCUUAUAAUUGAAGGCUAGUAUGAAUGGUUUGACGAGAAUUAAGCUGUCUCUUUUUAAUUAAAUAUAACUUUAUGUAUAGGUGAAGAAGCCUAUAUGUUAUUGAAAGACAAGAAGACCCUAUCGAGCUUAAAAUAAUUUAGCUGACUAGCCCUAUAUUUAUAAAAAAACUAAGCUGCUAAAAAUUUUAGUUGGGGCGACUAAGGAACAGACAAAGCUUCCUUUAUUUUUAGCACUACGAGCAAGUUUUGAUCCAGAAAUUCUGAUUAAAGAAAUUAGUUACCGUAGGGAUAACAGCAUAAUCUCCUUUGAGAGUUCUUAUCGAAAAGGGGGUUUGUGACCUCGAUGUUGGACCAGAAUGUCCAGAAGAUGCAGCCGUCUUCAAUGGUUGGUCUGUUCGACCAUUAAAAUUCUACGUGAUCUGAGUUCAGACCGGCGUGAGCCAGGUCAGUUUCUAUCUUCAAUUAUUAAAGUAGUUCUAGUACGAAAGGACCGAGCUACUAUAAGACGUUUAUUAUUAUUUGAUUUAAUAUAAAGAAUUAUUGAAUUUUCUUGUUGAUCAAAUUAGCAAAGACUAAUGCAAUUGACUUAGGAUCAGUAGACAUAGGUGAAAAUCCUUUAUUUGAUACAUCAACUAAGAUAUAAAGAUGGCAGAAAAA